AACAAACGCUGGCGGCGUGCCUAAUACAUGCAAGUCGAACGGGGAAAACUUUCGGGUGAGUACUAGUGGCGCACGGGUGAGUAGCGCGUGGAUAAUCUGCCUUAGAGUGGGGGAUAACUAGUCGAAAGAUUAGCUAAUACCGCAUAAGACCACAAGAACUGCGGUUCAAGAGGUCAGAGGCUUUUCGCUCUAAGAUGAGUCCGCGUAAGAUUAUCUAGUUGGUGAGGUAACGGCUCACCAAGGCAACGACCUUUAACUGGUCUGAUAUGAUGAUCAGUCACACUGGAACUGAGACACGGUCCAGACUCCUACGGGAGGCAGCAGUAGGGAAUAUUGCACAAUGGAGGAAACUCUGAUGCAGCGACGCCGCGUGAGUGAUGAAGGCCUUCGGGUCGUAAAGCUCUGUCGCAGGGGAAUAACACAAUGAAUGUACCCUGUAAGAAAGGAUCGGCUAACUUCGUGCCAGCCGCCGCGGUAAUAC
rnacentral:rRNA from 1 species